UACGAAGGGGGGCUAGCGUUGCUCGGAAUCACUGGGCGUAAAGCGCACGUAGGCGGAUUGUUAAGUCAGGGGGUGAAAUCCCCGGAGCUCAACUUCGGAACUGCCCUUUGAUACAGCACGUCUUGAGUCCGAUAGAGGUGGGUGGAAUUCCCUAGUGUAGAGGGUGAAAUUCGUAGAUAUUAGGAAGAACACCGGUGGCGAAGGCGG
rnacentral:rRNA from 1 species